CACGUAGGGCGCAAGCGUUGUCCGGAAUUAUUGGGCGUAAAGGGCGCGUAGGCGGCUUGGCAAGUGGAAGGUGAAAUCCCUCGGCUUAACCGGGGAACUGCCCUCCAAACUGCUUUGCUUGAGGCCGGGAGAGGCGAGUGGAAUUCCCAGUGUAGCGGUGAAAUGCGUAGAUAUUGGGAGGAACACCAAUAGCGAAGGCAGCUCGCUGGGACGGUACUGACGCUAAGGCGCGAAAGCGUGGGGAGCGAACAGG
rnacentral:rRNA from 1 species